CGGGGGGAGCAAGCGUUGUUCGGAUUUACUGGGCGUAAAGGGCGCGUAGGCGGCGCAACAAGUCACUUGUGAAAUCUCCGGGCUUAACCCGGAGCGGUCAAGUGAUACUGUCGUGCUAGAGUGCGGAAGGGGCAACUGGAAUUCUCGGUGUAGCGGUGAAAUGCGUAGAUAUCGAGAGGAACACCUGCGGCGAAGGCGGGUUGCUGGGCCGACACUGACGCUGAGGCGCGAAAGCUAGGGGAGCGAACGGGAUUAGAUACCCCGGUAGUCCUAGCCUUAAACGAUGGAUGCUUGGUGUCCGAGGUUAGAUAGUCCUCGGGUGCCGUCGCUAACGCUUUAAGCAUCCCGCCUGGGGAGUACGCACGCAAGUGUG
rnacentral:rRNA from 1 species